UGGUAGUCCAAGCCGAUAAACUAUCAAUACUUAUUUUCAGCGAUAUACAGUUGAAGAUUAAGCGAGAAAAAUAAGUAGGGCACCUGGGGAGUAAGAUCGCAAGAUUGAAAGUCAAAGGAAGUNNNNNNNNCCCGCGCAAGCGGUGGAGCAUGUGGUUUAAUUGGAGGAUACGCGAGGAACCUUACCAAUGCUUAAAAAUUGAUGGGCNNNNNNNAAACAUCUCUUUCAGCGAUGACAAGAAAAUAGAUGCUGCAUGGCGGUCGUCAAAUCGUGCCGUGAGGUGGUGGGUGAAGUCCCGGAGAGGAGCGCAACCCCUAUCUUUAGUUGCCAUCGGGUUAAGCCGGGAACUCUAAAGAAACUGCCAGCGUAAGCUGCGAGGAAGGUGGGGACGACGUCAAGUCAUCACGGCCCUUACGUCCUGGGCCACACACGUGCUACAAUGGUAGGUACAGAGGGCAGAUACUGGGUGACCAGAUGCGAAUCUCUAAAGCCUAUCUCAGUUCGGAUUGGAGUGUGCAACUCAACUCUAGGAAGCUGGAAUUGCUAGUAAUCGAGCAUCAGCCAUGGCGCGGUGAAUCCGUUCCCGGGCGUGGUACACACCGCCCUUCAAACAAAGGAAGCUGGGGGUGCAUGAAGUCGGUAACCGUAAGGAGAUGGAUAGGGUAAAACUGGUAACUGGUUUAAGUCGAACAAGGUAA
rnacentral:rRNA from 1 species